rnacentral:rRNA from 1 species
UUUUUCACCAUGGGCAUGUUUGUGAAUGUAAAGUCCACUGGAAUGUGGCAGCGCUUCGGCGUUCUUUGGGUCAGAGAGGGUGAAAACCCCGUUUACAUUCAUGAGCGUGUCUGUUGUGUGAGCGUGUUAAAGAGUCGGAUUGUUUGGGAAUGCAAUCCAAAACGGGUGGUAAAUUCCAUCCAAGACUAAAUAUUAGCAAGAGACCGAUAGCGAACAAGUACCGUGAGGGAAAGAUGAAAAGCACUCUGAAGAGAGAGUGAAAUAGUACGUGAAAUUGCUUNAAGGGAAAGGCUUUAAACGAUUGUGGCUUGCAUUUUUAUCACUUUCGGCUGCUCUUGAAAUUGUG